rnacentral:rRNA from 1 species
GAUGAACGCUGGCGGCGUGCUUAACACAUGCAAGUCGAACGAUUAAAGCUCUCUUCGGAGAGUGUAUAAAGUGGCGAACGGGUGAGUAACACGUGGGCAAUCUGCCCCUCACACUGGAUAACCCGAGGAAACUCGAGCUAAUACCGGAUACUCCUUACUGACCGCAUGGUCGGUUCGGGAAAGCUCCGGCGGUGAGGGAUGAGCCCGCGGCCCAUUAGCUUGUUGGGGGGGUAAUGGCCCACCAAGGCAACGAUGGGUAGCCGACCUGAGAGGGUGAUCGGCCACACUGGGACUGAGACACGGCCCAGACUCCUACGGGAGGCAGCAGUGGGGAAUCUUGCACAAUGGGCGAAAGCCUGAUGCAGCAACGCCGCGUGCGGGAUGAAGGCCUUCGGGUUGUAAACCGCUUUCAGCAGGGAUGAGAUUGACAGUACCUGCAGAAGAAGCCCCGGCUAACUACGUGCCAGCAGCCGCCGUAA